rnacentral:rRNA from 1 species
UACGAAGGGGGCGAGCGUUGUUCGGAUUUACUGGGCGUAAAGGGCGCGCAGGCGGCCGCAUUUGUCAGGCGUGAAAGCCCCGGGCUUAACCUGGGAACUGCGUUUGAUACGGUGUGGCUAGAGUUCGGGAGAGGAGAGUGGAAUUCCCAGUGUAGAGGUGAAAUUCGUAGAUAUCUGGAGGAACACCGGUGGCGAAGGCGGCAUCCUGGACCGACACUGACGCUGAGGAGCGAAAGCCAGGGGAGCAAACGGG